GAUGAACGCUAGCGGCAGGCCUAACACAUGCAAGUCGAGGGGCAGCACAGGUAGCAAUACUGGGUGGCGACCGGCGGAUGGGUGCGUAACGCGUAUGCAACCUACCAUUGAUUGGGGCAUAGCCCGAAGAAAUUCGGAUUAAUACUCCAUAAUAUUCAUCAAAGGCAUCUUUUAUGAAUUAAAGCUUUUGCGAUCAAUGAUGGGCAUGCGUGACAUUAGUUAGUUGGUGAGGUAACGGCUCACCAAAACGAUGAUGUCUAGGGGUUCUGAGAGGAUUAUCCCCCACACUGGUACUGAGACACGGACCAGACUCCUACGGGAGGCAGCAGUGAGGAAUAUUGGUCAAUGGACGCAAGUCUGAACCAGCCAUGCCGCGUGCAGGAUGACGGCCCUAUGGGUUGUAAACUGCUUUUCCACGGAAGAACCCUCCGACGUGUCGGAGACUGACGGUACCGUGGGAAUAAGCAUCGGCUAACUCCGUGCC
rnacentral:rRNA from 1 species